UUGGUAAUAAGGUGGUGGUUGUUGUUGUUGGGAAUACUGUGGUGGUUGUUGUUGUUGGAAAUAUGGUUGUUGCAUCCGGGGAUCGUCCAAAUAGAACGGGUCAGACACAAUCAUUUCUGGAUUGGUAUUUGCUCUAUACCAUUCCACAUAUUCCUUGUCGGCUUCAUUUCGUUGGGCGCCACCGGAAAUUGUAGAACAUAGUGGGCACGGUCUUUCCACAUUUUUCGAAACUCCUUAGCAAAUUCCUUCCAAUUUUGGGCAUACCACUGGUGGCUGACUU
rnacentral:lncRNA from 1 species